rnacentral:lncRNA from 1 species
UAUUCAAGAUAGAGAAUUUCAUGUCUGUUUUUAACUCUGAGACUCAACUCUGUCUUCUGCUUUUCCAGGUGUUCCUGCAUUUGUACUUGUAGCUUUUCCAGUUCAAUAGAACUAGAGGAUCAGCCUCUGCUCCACCAUCUGGGCAGGAGAAAUAAAACCAAAGUUUCCUGGUGCCAGCCUCAGAGCUGGAUCCCAAUCAUAUGGGUGGCAGAGAUGAAGCAGAAGAGGCCUCCCCAGCUCCAGCUAAGAUCAUGGAGAUGGACGGAAGGUGCGAGUGCAUGCGGGCCCGAGAAUUUGGAAGACUGAAAGUGCCUGGUGGUUUAAGCGAAAGUGAAUUCUUCCCUGAGCACUGAUAGGAUUGCCCACGAGAAGAAAUCAUCUCUUCAGCCCUCUCGUCCUCCACAGGAACAGAAGGACACGUCCCAAGUGGCGAGCUGUGCAAGGCUGCAGACACUGUGAGUGGGCUGCGAGGGGCGGAGCUGAGGGUGGACGUCCUGACUGCUCGAUUUCCAGCCACAGCUCAGUUCACUCUACUUGGGAGAAACUUUC